AUUCCAUGAUGGGGACAUUCUAGGAUGUAGUCUUGAAAGCGCUCUCAUGCUUCUGGAACAGAUUCAUCAUUUUGUUGCUGAAAACUUUUAAUGUUCCCACGGAGAGC
rnacentral:snoRNA from 1 species